rnacentral:rRNA from 1 species
GAUGAACGCUGGCGGCGUGCCUAAUACAUGCAAGUCGAGCGAACAGACGAGGAGCUUGCUCCUCUGACGUUAGCGGCGGACGGGUGAGUAACACGUGGAUAACCUACCUAUAAGACUGGGAUAACUUCGGGAAACCGGAGCUAAUACCGGAUAAUAUAUUGAACCGCAUGGUUCAAUAGUGAAAGACGGUUUUGCUGUCACUUAUAGAUGGAUCCGCGCCGCAUUAGCUAGUUGGUAAGGUAACGGCUUACCAAGGCAACGAUGCGUAGCCGACCUGAGAGGGUGAUCGGCCACACUGGAACUGAGACACGGUCCAGACACCUACGGGAGGCAGCAGUAGGGAAUCUUCCGCAAUGGGCGAAAGCCUGACGGAGCAACGCCGCGUGAGUGAUGAAGGUCUUCGGAUCGUAAAACUCUGUUAUUAGGGAAGAACAAAUGUGUAAGUAACUAUGCACGUCUUGACGGUACCUAAUCAGAAAGCCACGGCUAACUACGUG